AACUGAUACUACCUGCGGGAACCUGCGGAAGGAUCAUUACCGAGUUUACAACUCCCAAACCCCUGUGAACAUACCACUUGUUGCCUCGGCGGAUCAGCCCGCUCCCGGUAAAACGGGACGGCCCGCCAGAGGACCCCUAAACUCUGUUUCUAUAUGUAACUUCUGAGUAAAACCAUAAAUAAAUCAAAACUUUCAACAAUGGAUCUCU
rnacentral:misc_RNA from 1 species